AUUGAACGCUGGCGGAAUGCUUUACACAUGCAAGUCGAGCGGCAGCGCGGCCUUCGGGCUGGCGGCGAGCGGCGAACGGGUGAGUAAUGCAUCGGAACAUGCCCAGUCGCGGGGGAUAACACUUCGAAAGAAGUGCUAAUACCGCAUACGUCCUGAGGGGGUAAGCGGGGGAUCGCAAGACCUCGCGCGAUUGGAGUGGCCGAUGUCAGAUUAGCUAGUUGGUGGGGUAAAGGCCUACCAAGGCGACGAUCUGUAGCUGGUCUGAGAGGAUGAUCAGCCACACUGGGACUGAGACACGGCCCAGACUCCUACGGGAGGCAGCAGUGGGGAAUUUUGGACAAUGGGGGCAACCCUGAUCCAGCCAUUCCGCGUGAGUGAAGAAGGCCUUCGGGUUGUAAAGCUCUUUCGGCAGGAACGAAACGGUGGGCUCUAACAUAGUCCGCUAAUGACGGUACCUAAAGAAGAAGCACCGGCUAACUACGUG
rnacentral:rRNA from 1 species